rnacentral:lncRNA from 1 species
AAGGCAGUCGCUCAUACACAUCUUCCGCUGAUCCUCUCACCAUUUCUUGCGCGUAUAACAAUACUCUGUAUGAAGUGGUGUAAUCAAGUGUCAUGCCAAACAUGUUCUUCAUUACAUCUUUGAUAUGCUGCGGAUUCAACUCAUCAAUGAUUCCAACACAAUCUAUGAAAAGUCGAUCAAUGUACUUCGGAGUACAGUGUUUCUGCUGAGCGAUUCUGUCUGUGAUGGAAGAUGUAUGAGUUUCCACAUACUUGGUUACCCAAAACGUUUUAGUCCCAUGUUUCACACUUGCUCUGACCUUCCAUUGACAACCACUAACACGACAUGUUGCCACAAAGAGAGUUUUCGUUGACUUGUAUAUUCUGUAGGAGAACCUACGCCUCACCGAUGUCAACCGCAACUCUGAAAGCAGUGCAUCCCUACUAGCAAAACUCUAGUUGACAUAGAUUCUGUCAGCAGAUGAUCAUUUUCCUUCACAACCAUAUGCCCCUUUGUAAUCUUCAAAACAGAUUUCAUCAUCUUCUUCCUCAUCCUCGUCUUUAACCUUUCCAUACUCACUAUAAUCCUCAGCAUCAGUGGCAACAGGGAUGUCAG